CUCCGGAGGCAGCAGUGGGGAAUAUUGCACAAUGGGCGAAAGCCUGAUGCAGCGACGCCGCGUGAGGGAUGACGGCCUUCGGGUUGUAAACCUCUUUCAGCAGGGAAGAAGCGAAAGUGACGGUACCUGCAGAAGAAGCGCCGGCUAACUACGUGCCAGCAGCCGCGGUAAUACGUAGGGCGCAAGCGUUGUCCGGAAUUAUUGGGCGUAAAGAGCUCGUAGGCGGCUUGUCACGUCGGGUGUGAAAGCCCGGGGCUUAACCCCGGGUCUGCAUUCGAUACGGGCUAGCUAGAGUGUGGUAGGGGAGAUCGGAAUUCCUGGUGUAGCGGUGAAAUGCGCAGAUAUCAGGAGGAACACCGGUGGCGAAGGCGGAUCUCUGGGCCAUUACUGACGCUGAGGAGCGAAAGCGUGGGGAGCGAACAGGAUUAGAUACCCUGGUAGUCCACGCCGUAAACGGUGGGAACUAGGUGUUGGCGACAUUCCACGUCGUCGGUGCCGCAGCUAACGCAUUAAGUUCCCCGCCUGGGGAG
rnacentral:rRNA from 1 species